AACGAACGCUGGCGGCAGGCCUAACACAUGCAAGUCGAGCGAGCAUUUCGGUGCUAGCGGCGGACGGGUGAGUAACGCGUGGGAACGUGCCCUUUUCUGCGGAAUAGUCCUGGGAAACUGGGGGUAAUACCGCGUACGCCCUUUUGGGGAAAGAUUUAUCGGAGAAGGAUCGGCCCGCGUUGGAUUAGGUAGUUGGUGGGGUAAUGGCCCACCAAGCCGACGAUCCAUAGCUGGUUUGAGAGGAUGAUCAGCCACACUGGGACUGAGACACGGCCCAGACUCCUACGGGAGGCAGCAGUGGGGAAUCUUAGACAAUGGGGGCAACCCUGAUCUAGCCAUGCCGCGUGAGUGAUGAAGGCCUUAGGGUUGUAAAGCUCUUUCAGCUGGGAAGAUAAUGACGGUACCAGCAGAAGAAGCCCCGGCUAACCCCGUG
rnacentral:rRNA from 1 species